AUUAAAGUAGAUACUAUUAAUUUUAUAAGCAUGGUCCAUAAGUUUUGGGAAUAUAUGAAUAAUUGUGUUAAUUCCUUGUGUGGAUGGAAGGAAAUGGAAGUUGGUAAGAGCUUGUAUAUGACCAUAUACCAAGGCAUCAAGUUCUCGUAUAUAUUAAAACUACUUACUUGUCACCAAAAAAGAAGUUUCUCCCAUUCAAUCUUUCUGAUAAUAUCACGCAACAAUUUUCAACUUCAUUAGAGACUUCUUUUAAAGUUCUAUUAUACCAACCAAGUACGGUUUUAAAUGGUUGGAUAAACUUGUCCCUUUGUUUGAAAUAAAGGACACUAUAUUAUCAAAUUCAGAUAGUACAAAUGCACCACAUUUAAUAAAAGGUAAAGAACCAUUUGGAGACAUAUACUCGGCAUC